UGGGGAAUUUUCCACAAUGGGCGAAAGCCUGAUGGAGCAACGCCGCGUGUGUGAUGAAGGUUUUCGGACUGUAAAGCACUUUCGACCGGGACGAAAAAACGGAGGCUAAUAUCCUCCGUCCUGACGGUACCGGGAGAAGAAGCACCGGCUAACUCUGUGCCAGCAGCCGCGGUAAUACAGAGGGUGCAAGCGUUGUUCGGAAUUAUUGGGCGUAAAGCGCGUGUAGGCGGCUUGGUAAGUCAGAUGUGAAAGCCCUCGGCUCAACCGAGGAAGUGCGUCUGAAACUGCUGAGCUUGAGUACCGGAGAGGAUGGCGGAAUUCCACAAGUAGAGGUGAAAUUCGUAGAUAUGUGGAGGAACACCGGUGGCGAAGGCGGCCAUCUGGACGGUAACUGACGCUGAGACGCGAAAGCGUGGGUAGCAAACAGGAUUAGAUACCCGCGUAGUCCCUGAGCGGGCUGGCAAGGCGCAU
rnacentral:rRNA from 1 species